AGACGGGGGGGGCGAGCGUUGUUCGGAAUUACUGGGCGUAAAGGGCGCGCAGGCGGCCUGGGAAGUCUUGGGUGAAAGCCCCCAGCUCAACUGGGGAAUGGCCUGAGAAACCACUAGGCUGGAGUGCUGGAGAGGGAAGCGGAAUUCCCGGUGGAGCGGUGAAAUGCGUAGAUAUCGGGAGGAACACCAGAGGCGAAGGCGGCUUCCUGGACAGACACUGACGCUGAGGCGCGAAAGCUAGGGGAGCAAACGGGAUUAGAAACCCGGGUAGUCC
rnacentral:rRNA from 1 species